CAUAAACCAAAUCCAUACACC
rnacentral:miRNA from 1 species